rnacentral:rRNA from 1 species
GUCUUUUGCGCACUUGUUGUUUCCUGGGCGGGUUCGCCCGCCUCCAGGACCACAUGAUAAACCUUUUUUAUGCAGUUGCAAUCAGCGUCAGUACAACAAAUGUAAAUCAUUUACAACUUUCAACAACGGAUCUCUUGGUUCUGGCAUCGAUGAAGAACGCAGCGAAAUGCGAUACGUAGUGUGAAUUGCAGAAUUCAGUGAAUCAUCGAAUCUUUGAACGCACAUUGCGCCCUUUGGUAUUCCAAAGGGCAUGCCUGUUCGAGCGUCAUUUGUACCCUCAAGCUUUGCUUGGUGUUGGGCGUUUUUUGUCUUUGGUUUUGUCCAAAGACUCGCCUUAAAACGAUUGGCAGCCGGCCUAC